CACUCCUGCGGGAGGCAGCAGUGGGGAAUUUUGGACAAUGGGCGAAAGCCUGAUCCAGCCAUGCCGCGUGCAGGAUGAAGGCCUUCGGGUUGUAAACUGCUUUUGUACGGAACGAAACGGCCUUUUCUAAUAAAGAGGGCUAAUGACGGUACCGUAAGAAUAAGCACCGGCUAACUACGUGCCAGCAGCCGCGGUAAUACGUAGGGUGCAAGCGUUAAUCGGAAUUACUGGGCGUAAAGCGUGCGCAGGCGGUUAUGUAAGACAGUUGUGAAAUCCCCGGGCUCAACCUGGGAACUGCAUCUGUGACUGCAUAGCUAGAGUACGGUAGAGGGGGAUGGAAUUCCGCGUGUAGCAGUGAAAUGCGUAGAUAUGCGGAGGAACACCGAUGGCGAAGGCAAUCCCCUGGACCUGUACUGACGCUCAUGCACGAAAGCGUGGGGAGCAAACAGGAUUAGAAACCCUAGUAGUCC
rnacentral:rRNA from 1 species